GCUGCAGACAGGCAGGUCUGUGCACGCCCUACCGAGGUCCUGAGUCACGCGGAAGACGCCGAAUCAGCCCGCUGCAGACAGGCAGGUCUGUGCACGCCCUACCGAGGUCCUGAGUCACGCGGAAGACACCGAAUCAGCCCGCUGCAGACAGGCAGGUCUGUGCACGCCCUACCGAGGUCCUGAGUCACGUGGAAGACGCCGAAUCAGCCCGCUGCAGACAGGCAGGUCUGUGCACGCCCUACCGAGGUCCUGAGUCACGCAGAAGACGUCGAAUCACCCGGCUGCAGACAGGCAGGUCUGCCCACACCCUGCCGAGGUCCCCAGUCGCGCGGAACACACGCCGAAUCAGCCCACUGCAGACAGGCAGCCACCUGAUUCCCCAUUACCAAGGCGCAGAGGACACCAGACCACCAGACCAAG
rnacentral:lncRNA from 1 species